AUGGUCUGGUUUCCUCUCCUCCUCACUCUCCUUGCACACUGCACAGGAUCCUGGGCUCAGUCUGUGCUGACUCAGCCACCCUCAGUGUCUUGGGCCACAAGGCAGAGGCUCACUGUCUCCUGCACUGGAAGCAGCUCCAACACUGGGACUGGCUAUAACGUAAACUGUUGGCAGUAGCUCCCAAGAACUGACCCCAAACUCCUCAGGCAUGGUGAUAAGAAUUGGGCCUCCUGGGUAUCUGACCAAUUCUCUGGUUCCAAGUCUGGCAGCUUGGCCUCCCUGGGCACCACUGGGCUCUGGGCUGAGGACAAGACUGAUUAUCACUGCCAGUCCCGUGACAUCUGCUGAGUGCUUGUACAGUGCUCCAGGCUUGCAGGGGAGUGAGACAAGAACCCCCUUCCUCCUUUCCCAGGAGGGUGAGUGCCCAGCAGCUACUGCACA
rnacentral:lncRNA from 1 species